GAUGAACGCUGGCGGCGUGCCUAAUACAUGCAAGUCGAGCGAACGGACGAGAAGCUUGCUUCUCUGAUGUUAGCGGCGGACGGGUGAGUAACACGUGGAUAACCUACCUAUAAGACUGGGAUAACUUCGGGAAACCGGAGCUAAUACCGGAUAAUAUUUUGAACCGCAUGGUUCAAAAGUGAAAGACGGUCUUGCUGUCACUUAUAGAUGGAUCCGCGCUGCAUUAGCUAGUUGGUAAGGUAACGGCUUACCAAGGCAACGAUGCAUAGCCGACCUGAGAGGGUGAUCGGCCACACUGGAACUGAGACACGGUCCAGACUCCUACGGGAGGCAGCAGUAGGGAAUCUUCCGCAAUGGGCGAAAGCCUGACGGAGCAACGCCGCGUGAGUGAUGAAGGUCUUCGGAUCGUAAAACUCUGUUAUUAGGGAAGAACAUAUGUGUAAGUAACUGUGCACAUCUUGACGGUACCUAAUCAGAAAGCCACGGCUAACUACGUGCCAGCAGCCGCGGUAAUACGUAGGUGGCAGGCGUUAUCCGGAAUUAUUGGGCGUAAAGCGCGCGUAGGCGGUUUUUUAAGUCUGAAGUUAAGGCUGUGGCUUAACCAUAGUACGCUUUGGAAACUGUUUAACUUGAGUGCAGAAGGGGAGAGUGGAAUUCCAUGUGUAGCGGUGAAAUGCGUAGAUAUAUGGAGGAACACCGGUGGCGAAAGCGGCUCUCUGGUCUGUAACUGACGCUGAGGCUCGAAAGCGUGGGGAGCAAACAGGAUUAGAUACCCUGGUAGUCCACGCCGUAAACGAUGAGUGCUAGGUGUUGGGUCCUUUCCGGGACUCAGUGCCGCAGCUAACGCAUUAAGCACUCCGCCUGGGGAGUACGACCGCAAGGUUGAAACUCAAAGGAAUUGACGGGGGCCCGCACAAGCGGUGGAGCAUGUGGUUUAAUUCGAAGCAACGCGAAGAACCUUACCAGGUCUUGACAUCCCUCUGACCGCUCUAGAGAUAGAGAUUUCCUUCGGGACAGAGGUGACAGGUGGUGCAUGGUUGUCGUCAGCUCGUGUCGUGAGAUGUUGGGUUAAGUCCCGCAACGAGCGCAACCCCUAUUGUUAGUUGCCAUCAUUUAGUUGGGCACUCUAGCGGGACUGCCGGUAAUAAACCGGAGGAAGGUGGGGAUGACGUCAAAUCAUCAUGCCCCUUAUGACCUGGGCUACACACGUGCUACAAUGGCUGGUACAACGAGUCGCAAGUCGGUGACGGCAAGCUAAUCUCUUAAAGCCAGUCUCAGUUCGGAUUGUAGGCUGCAACUCGCCUACAUGAAGUCGGAAUCGCUAGUAAUCGCGGAUCAGCACGCCGCGGUGAAUACGUUCCCGGGCCU
rnacentral:rRNA from 1 species